rnacentral:rRNA from 1 species
GCAACGGAUAUCUCGGCUCCCGCAUCGAUGAAGAACGUAGCGAAAUGCGAUACCUGGUGUGAAUUGCAGAAUCCCGUGAACCAUCGAGUCUUUGAACGCAAGUUGCGCCCGAGGCCAUUCGGUCGAGGGCACGCCUGCCUGGGCGUCACGCCAAAAGACGCUCCA